rnacentral:rRNA from 1 species
UGGGACAAAGGGCUGAGAGACCGCGAGGGUAAGGAAAUCCCAGAAAUCAGUUCUCAGUUCGGAUCGCAGUCUGCAACUCGACUGCGUGAAGCUGGAAUCGCUAGUUAUCGCGGAUCAGCAUGCCGCGGUGAAUACGUUCCCGGGCCUUGUACACACCGCCCGUCACGGCACGAGAGUUUGUAACACCCGAAGUCGGUGAGGUAACCUUUUAGGAGCCAGCCGCCGAAGUGAC